GGCUCCAUAGUGUAGUGGUUAUCACCCCAGACUCUGAAUCUGGUAACGGCAGUUCGAAUCUGCCUGGGGCCU